AAAUAAGAAGCAAAUAAUUGUGAUUAGUUUCGACCUAAUUUUAGAUAUAAGUAUAUCCUUAUUUU
rnacentral:tRNA from 1 species